rnacentral:rRNA from 1 species
AUUGGACGCUGGCGGAAUGCUUUACACAUGCAAGUCGAACGGCAGCACGGGGGCAACCCUGGUGGCGAGUGGCGAACGGGUGAGUAAUACAUCGGAACGUGCCCAGUCGUGGGGGAUAACGUAGCGAAAGUUACGCUAAUACCGCAUACGAUCUACGGAUGAAAGCGGGGGACCGUAAGGCCUCGCGCGAUUGGAGCGGCCGAUGUCAGAUUAGGUAGUUGGUGAGGUAAAGGCUCACCAAGCCGACGAUCUGUAGCUGGUCUGAGAGGACGACCAGCCACACUGGGACUGAGACACGGCCCAGACUCCUACGGGAGGCAGCAUUGGGGAAUUUUGGACAAUGGGCGCAAGCCUGAUCCAGCCAUUCCGCGUGCAGGACGAAGGCCUUCGGGUUGUAAACUGCUUUUGUACGGAACGAAAAGGCUCCGGUUAAUACCUGGGGCUCAUGACGGUACCGUAAGAAUAAGCACCGGCUAACUACGUGCCAGCCGCCGCGGUAA